rnacentral:rRNA from 1 species
GGGCCAGACUCCUACGGGAGGCAGCAGUGGGGAAUAUUGCACAAUGGGGGAAACCCUGAUGCAGCGACGCCGCGUGAGCGAUGAAGUAUUUCGGUAUGUAAAGCUCUAUCAGCAGGGAAGAAAAUGACGGUACCUGACUAAGAAGCCCCGGCUAACUACGUGCCAGCAGCCGCGGUAAUACGUAGGGGGCAAGCGUUAUCCGGAUUUACUGGGUGUAAAGGGAGCGUAGACGGCUGUGCAAGCCAGAUGUGAAAGCCCGGGGCUCAACCCCGGGACUGCAUUUGGAACUGUGUGGCUGGAGUGUCGGAGAGGCAGGCGGAAUUCCUAGUGUAGCGGUGAAAUGCGUAGAUAUUAGGAAGAACACCAGUGGCGAAGGCGGAUUACUGGACGACAACUGACGGUGAGGCGCGAAAGCGUGGGGAGCAAACAGGAUUAGAUACCCCAGUAC